rfam:Nannochloropsis gaditana strain B-31 chromosome 12, whole genome shotgun sequence.
UACGGGAAACCGUAUAACGCUAAAAUUGGAACGAUACAGAGAAGAUUAGGUGAGUCUUAGUCCCGUAGAAGAGGAUACGACGUUCGAGUCCCCGCGCUCCCUCCUCUCAGGUUCUCACCCAGCCCCCUCUUGUCUCCCAUCCCGUCCCACCCUCACAGCAUGGCCCCUGCGCAAGGAUGACACGCACAAAUCGAGAAGAGUACGUCCUUUUU